ACUCUCUAUGGAUUUUUUUUUAAGUGGAAAACAAAGUAUUUACUCAAGUCCUAAUUAUACAUGCUGUAUCCGAGAGAAGAGAUAUUUGACCCAGCUGAUAGAAGACUUUAUGUCUGACUGACUAAAGAUAAAAGACAACUCAAUCUCUGGCCCAGAAACAAAACCAUACAUCCAGCCUUAUGAGUGUGGGGUUCAAAUGAGCAUAGGCAUGCUGAAAUACUGCUGAAAAAAACGCACCAUCCUCCUGAACACAGAAGGGAAUUUCCUGCAGUUUUUUUCCUCACUUCUAGCACAAACGCAAUGAAACUCCUCAAAUUAUUUGCGCCUUCAAAGUGUUAAAGAGAGAUUUCAAGAAUCAUAAGAGGUUUUUCUUAUUUAUGUUGUGAUUUCAUAAUAUACUUUUGAAUCUCUAAAUGAUGAUGCGGGAAAGAGACUGUGUUGUUUGGCAUACUUUUAUUUACAGCAACUUUCCCACCAAAUUUCCCUUACAACAGUGGCCUGAAGACUGGAGUGAUUUUGCACAAUUUUCAUUACUCCCAGAACUGAAUAAAUUCAUCCCUGUGAGAAACCGCACUUUCCAUAACUGGACUACAGUUGCAUAACUUAAACUGAAAAUACGAUGAAGACAAUAAAGCCUUGUUAGCUUAUUAAAGGAUACAAGAGCUUUUAAUCAUGUAGCCUCCAGACUUGCUUUCGUGCAGAAAUAAGCUGCCCUGCUGCCUGAAUCUCGCUUCCUGGCCAUCCACACAAUGAUCUGGAGACUGGGAAUUUCUGCCAAAGAUCACUGAUGUAUUGUGAGGAAUGGAUCAAAGGCAAGGUGUUGGUUUUGCUUGAUCUGGUAAUGUACUCACUUGGCAACCAGGAAAUACACUGAACUGCUUGGCAGUGUAUUAAUUCUCUUGGAAAAUUCCCUGAAAGGAAUCAGCCUUCCAAAUUGGGAGAUGAAGGUUAAAGCCCUGAGGUUUUGGGUGAAAUAUCUGGAAAAUUAGUUUAUAGUUGUUAGGAGA